rnacentral:lncRNA from 1 species
CUCGCUGCCACCUUGCAGUUUGAUCUCAGACUGCUGUGCUAGCAAUCAGCAAGACUCCAUGGGCGUAGGACCCUCCAAGCCAGGUGCAGGAUAUAAUCUCCUGGUGUGCCGUUUUUUAAACCCAUCGGAAAAGCGCAUUAUUCGGGUGGGAGUGACCCGAUUUUCCAGGUGCCAUCUGUCACCCCUUUCUUUGACUAGGAAAGGGAACUCCCUGACCCCUUGCGCUUCCUGAGUGAGGCAAUGCCUCGCCCCACUUCGGCUCGUGCACGGUGCGCUGCACCCACUGACCUGUGCCCACUGUCUGGCACUCCCUAGUGAGAUGAACCCGGUACCUCAGAUGGAAAUGCAGAAAUCACCUGUCUUCUGCGUCACUCACGCUGGGAGCUGUAGACCUGAGCAGUUCCUUUUCGGCCAUCUUGGCUCCUCUGUCCCAAAAGUAUUCAGUGUAUUAAGUUCCUGGUUUUUCCUCUGUGGAUCUGAUCUUCCUCCAGGCUUCCUCACUAGAGUGUGCUACAACAACAUGACCCCAGCAAGCAAGAUUAUUUCUGUGCACUGAUAGGAAAAGGAAGCAAGCCAUGAGUGCCUGUUGAAGCUGGAAAAGCAAGAUUGAUGUUGAGGCUUGAUUGAAGGAGUGCAAGGUCACUCACAGAAGAAGUCAUGGUGCAAGAGUACAUCUCAAUCCUGCCCUAGCCUGGAAACAGCAUGCUCUGCUGCAUUUGCAUGCCCAAGGCACUGCUUGUCCUAAGCCCCAUCCUAGAAACUCUCUAUAGCUUUAUUUCCCUUAAGAAGGUAGAAAAACAUCAACAACCUAUCCGUACUAGCUGAAUGGCCUCUAGGCCUAUUGGGCAAGUACACCCAGAUGAGCAUCACUCUUAAGUGGCUGCUUCAGGUCAAGGUCUUUUGUGUUGGGGCAGCUGCAAACUGGCCUCUUUGGCUAUCCCAAGACCCUCUAAGUCCAAGGAGCUUUCAACCUCUAGUGAUGUUCAAUCUCUGUAAAGCUGUGUAAUGGGGGAUAAACAUUAAAGUUGUUU